UACGGAGGGGGCUAGCGUUGUUCGGAAUUACUGGGCGUAAAGCGCACGUAGGCGGCUUUGCAAGUUAGAGGUGAAAGCCCGGGGCUCAACUCCGGAAUUGCCUUUAAGACUGCAUCGCUAGAAUUGUGGAGAGGUAAGUGGAAUUCCGAGUGUAGAGGUGAAAUUCGUAGAUAUUCGGAAGAACACCAGUGGCGAAGGCGACUUACUGGACACAUAUUGACGCUGAGGUGCGAAAGCGUGGGGAGCAAGCAGG
rnacentral:rRNA from 1 species